rnacentral:rRNA from 1 species
UACGUAGGGACCAAGCGUUGUUCGGAUUUACUGGGCGUAAAGGGCGCGUAGGCGGCGCGGUAAGUCACUUGUGAAAUCUCUGAGCUUAACUCAGAACGGCCAAGUGAUACUGCAGUGCUAGAGUGUGGAAGGGGCAAUCGGAAUUCUUGGUGUAGCGGUGAAAUGCGUAGAUAUCAGGAGGAACACCGGUGGCGAAGGCGGGACUCUGGGCCGAUACUGACGCUGAGGAGCGAAAGCGUGGGGAGCAAACAGG